ensembl:lncRNA
GGAUGUACUUCCUGAGACAACUGGGGAAGUACAGUCUUCCACAGGAGCUGCUGAUCCAGUUCUACACUGCGGUCAUUGAGUCUGUCCUGUGCUCCUCCAUCACAGUCUGGUAUGGAGCAGCCACUAAACAGGACAGGAGCAGACUGCAGCGGACUCGCCCCCCUGCCCUCCAUCCAGGAUCUGUACCUCUCAAGAACCAGGAAACGGGCAGGGAAAAUCAUCACAGACCCCUCACACCCUGCACACAGACUUUUUGAUCUGCUGCCCUCUGGCAGACGGUACAGAAGCCUGCAGACCAGGACCACCCGACACAGGAACAGUUUCUUUCCCCUCGCCAUCUCCCUUCUUAACAGUUGACCUGUCACACUGCUCCCACUGCCAGACUGCAACUGCACCUUAUGUACAUUUUGUAGUAUUCAUUCCACCUCAUUCAUUUCUGUAUUUUAUGUAUAUAAGUUUAGAUUCGUUAUUUAUAGUUGGUUUACAUAGCUUUGUGUAUGUAUGUGUAAUGUGUAUAUAUAGACACUUGUGUGUGUGUGUGUGUGUGUAACCAAAUUCCCUGUAUGUGUCUGCACAUAUACUUGGCCAAUAAACACGAUUCUG